rnacentral:rRNA from 1 species
AUUGAACGCUGGCGGCAUGCUUUACACAUGCAAGUCGAGCGGCAGCGCGGGGGCAACCCUGGCGGCGAGCGGCGAACGGGUGAGGAAUACAUCGGAACGUGCCCGAGAGUGGGGGGAUAACGCCGCGAAAGCGGCGCUAAUACCGCAUAUUCUCUGAGGAGGAAAGUGGGGGACCGCAAGGCCUCACGCUCACGGAGCGGCCGAUGUCGGAUUAGCUAGUUGGUGGGGUAAAGGCUUACCAAGGCGACGAUCCGGUAGCGUGGUCUGAGAGGAUGAUCAGCCACACUGGGACUGAGACACGGCCCAGACUCCUACGGGAGGCAGCAGUGGGAAUUUUGGACAAUGGGCGCAAGCCUGAUCCAGCCAUGCCGCGUGAGUGAAGAAGGCC